UUAAGGUAUUUUGUUUCAUUUCUUUAAAGUGUUUUAUACACCGUCUGUACUAGCCACUAUUUAGCUUACAAAUAGACCGACUACGAAUAACCCACGUUUAGCCCAGAAAUAACCAUUAAUUUAAUUACAUGUGGUUUUUGCCAAAAUAACUUGUGAGAUGUAUGGUAUGUCAUUGUAAGCAAAGUUAACAGCGAUUACAAGGUUUGUUUAAUUUCUUUAAAGUGUUUUAUGCACCGUCGUACAUAGCCACUAUUUAGCUCAUAAAUAGACCGACUACGAACAAACCAUGUUUAGCCCAAAAUAACCUUGAAUUUAAUAAAAUUUUGUUUUUGCCAAAAUAACUUGCAAGAAUUAUGAUAUUUUAUCAGGCAUGCAAAGACACCAGGGAAAUUAAGAUGUUUGGUUUAAUUUAUCUUAUCUGAAUAUCUGCUGUCACGCAUAACAUUCAUUAUUUGACCGUAUUUCAAAGAUAAACAAAAUCCAGUUACAACUCCGAACCGCUAGAUGGCAGCAGUACACAAACACGAGGCCAUAUCUCGCGAGAAAGAUUUCCGCUGUUUGAAAAGCAACAACAUCAGCGAGCAGCCACGAGGAAAGUAUGUACCACACUCGUUUGGUCUUGUGUCAAAGCUGUGCGAAACUGGAGGGAGAAACUUGAGAGACCGUGCCGGAAGAAUGCUGGACAGAGUUCACUAAAAUUCAUUAAUUUCAAAUUUCAACAUGAAUGGUGGUGGUCCACUGCAGAAGCAAGCAUUUGAAAAAACAUCAGUUCUCAGUUAUUAAAGAUGCUGUGUUGAACAACUUCCCAGCAGCAACAGAACUGGAAGUGAAGGAUGCAAUGGGGGCAUUUCAAACAGGCACCAGGGAGCACGGGCAGGGGGGGGUAUAGAAAUUAGUACAAUUAAUAAGUUGACGUGAACUGAAGAUAGUUUGUUAAUGUUUAGAUGUUAUUUCAUUUUUAAAAUUGUAUUUUGUUAUAUAUGCUUUUAUUUUGUUACUGUUUUUAUUCUUUUUGUUAAAAGUAGUUUUUCUUCAUUUUGUCUUAUCUGAAUUUCUAUUGUAUUAACAAUAUUUUUUGUAAUAAAUUGCAUGAUUGCA